rnacentral:lncRNA from 1 species
GAAGCAUUACUAUUCAGCAACAUCAAAAGAGUCCCCAGAAUGGAAAUUGACCCUGCCUGGUAAUAUAAACAGGAAUAAAAUAGAAGGUAAAGUGAAUACAGAUAAGGAUGAGAGCUUCUCUCCAGCCAUUUAAGGAACAAGCCUAUUGUCCAGCCUCCACCAGGAGACAGUGUGGCUGGAAGAGUCUAUUUGCAUCACUGGGGCUGUUCCCUCAAAGACUUCCCUUUCUUUUUGUGGGUGAGGUCUUUCUAUUCUGAUUUAUGAUCUGUAUGUCUCUGCUGACUUUUUUUUUUUAAAUAAAGUUUUCAUUGUUCAUC